UACGUAGGGUGCAAGCGUUGUCCGGAAUUAUUGGGCGUAAAGAGCUCGUAGGCGGUUUGUUGCGUCGGCUGUGAAAUCCCGAGGCUCAACCUCGGGUCUGCAGUCGAUACGAGCAAACUAGAGUGCUGCAGGGGAGACUGGAAUUCCUGGUGUAGCGGUGAAAUGCGCAGAUAUCAGGAGGAACACCGGUGGCGAAGGCGGCUGACUGGACACAUAUUGACGCUGAGGCUCGAAAGCAUGGGGAGCAAACAGG
rnacentral:rRNA from 1 species